UGGGGAAUUUUGGACAAUGGGGGAAACCCUGAUCCAGCCAUGCCGCGUGAGUGAAGAAGGCCUUCGGGUUGUAAAGCUCUUUCGGCUGGGAAGAAAUCGCACAGGCUAAUACUCUGUGUGGAUGACGGUACCAGCAUAAGAAGCACCGGCUAACUACGUGCCAGCAGCCGCGGUAAUACGUAGGGUGCGAGCGUUAAUCGGAAUUACUGGGCGUAAAGCGUGCGCAGGCGGUUGUGCAAGACAGAUGUGAAAUCCCCGGGCUCAACCUGGGAACUGCAUUUGUGACUGCACGACUAGAGUACGGCAGAGGGGGGUAGAAUUCCACGUGUAGCAGUGAAAUGCGUAGAGAUGUGGAGGAAUACCGAUGGCGAAGGCAGCCCCCUGGGCCGAUACUGACGCUCAUGCACGAAAGCGUGGGGAGCAAACA
rnacentral:rRNA from 1 species